UACGUAGGGGGCUAGCGUUGUCCGGAUUUAUUGGGCGUAAAGAGCUCGUAGGCGGUCUGUCGCGUCGAAUGUGAAAACCCGGGGCUCAACUCCGGGCUUGCAUUCGAUACGGGCAGGCUAGAGUUCGGUAGGGGAGUCUGGAAUUCCUGGUGUAGCGGUGAAAUGCGCAGAUAUCAGGAGGAACACCGGUGGCGAAGGCGGGACUCUGGGCCGAUACUGACGCUGAGGAGCGAAAGCGUGGGGAGCGAACAGG
rnacentral:rRNA from 1 species